UAACUCACUCACAAGAGUCUCUAGAACUUCUUCUCUGUGAUCGCCAAAGGUCCCCCCCCACUUUCUCACUCACCGUGGACCCUAUAGCUGACCUCAAAAAUCAAGUUUUAGAGUUAAGUCGGGAUGUGAAAAGAUUGCAACGUAGAGUCAGUAAAAUUUAUAAAAUAUUAUGUAAAAGGAGCAUAGAACACGUUCCUCUCGGGUGUACAGGCCGGUGGCCUUCGUCAAAUAAGGAGACUAAUUCUCUCUUCUUGGCAUCGAAUACCGUUUUUCAUCCAGGGGCCCUUCAGGAAACCGGUCAAAAAAAUAUUCACCGAAGUGACAAUUUUGAGUCCGCUAAUCAAGAUAAGAGGACAACAGCUUCAUUUUCGCAGAACAAUGCAGCAGGCUCCGGUGAGUAUAUAGAGCCCUCCUUGCUGGAGUCACCUCCGUUAGCACAGUAUUACCUACCGUCGGUCACGGAAAACCCAAUUACAUAUCUGUCCUCACCGUUGUCUCAUACUCCCAAUCCUUUGUCACCCCUUCAU